UAUACCAUGUUGAAACACCAGUUCCCAUAUGAUCACUGAAAUUAAGCAAUAUUGAGCCUGGUCAAUAUCUAGAUGGGUGACCUCUUGGGAAUACCAGGUGUUGUAAG